rnacentral:rRNA from 1 species
CCUACGGGAGGCUGCAGUAGGGAAUUUUCGUCAAUGGGCGCAAGCCUGAACGAGCGAUGCCGCGUGAGUGAAGAAGGCCUUCGGGUCGUAAAGCUCUGUUGCGGGGGAAAAAAGGCAGCAUCAGGAAAUGGGUGCUGACUGAUGGUGCCCCGCCAGAAAGUCACGGCUAACUACGUGCCAGCAGCCGCGGUAAUACGUAGGUGGCGAGCGUUAUCCGGAUUUAUUGGGUUUAAAGGGUGCGCAGGCGGAAUGUCAAGUCAGCGGUAAAAUUUCGGGGCUCAACCCCGUCGUGCCAUUGAAACUGGCGUUCUUGAGUGAGCGAGAAGUAUGCGGAAUGCGUGGUGUAGCGGUGAAAUGCAUAGAUAUCACGCAGAACUCCGAUUGCGAAGGCAGCAUACCGGCGCUCAACUGACGCUCAUGCACGAAAGCGUGGGUAUCGAACAGGAUUAGAUACCCUUGUAGUC